UGCAGUAGAACGCUGAAGAGAGGAGCUUGCUCUUCUUGGAUGAGUUGCGAACGGGUGAGUAACGCGUAGGUAACCUGCCUUGUAGCGGGGGAUAACUAUUGGAAACGAUAGCUAAUACCGCAUAACAAUGGAUGACUCAUGUCAUUUAUUUGAAAGGGGCAAAUGCUCCACUACAAGAUGGACCUGCGUUGUAUUAGCUAGUAGGUGAGGUAACGGCUCACCUAGGCGACGAUACAUAGCCGACCUGAGAGGGUGAUCGGCCACACUGGGACUGAGACACGGCCCAGACUCCUACGGGAGGCAGCAGUAGGGAAUCUUCGGCAAUGGGGGCAACCCUGACCGAGCAACGCCGCGUGAGUGAAGAAGGUUUUCGGAUCGUAAAGCUCUGUUGUAAGUCAAGAACGAGUGUGAGAGUGGAAAGUUCACACUGUGACGGUAGCUUACCAGAAAGGGACGGCUAACUACGUGCCAGCAGCCGCGGUAAUACGUAGGUCCCGAGCGUUGUCCGGAUUUAUUGGGCGUAAAGCGAGCGCAGGCGGUUUGAUAAGUCUGAAGUUAAAGGCUGUGGCUCAACCAUAGUUCGCUUUGGAAACUGUCAAACUUGAGUGCAGAAGGGGAGAGUGGAAUUCCAUGUGUAGCGGUGAAAUGCGUAGAUAUAUGGAGGAACACCGGUGGCGAAAGCGGCUCUCUGGUCUGUAACUGACGCUGAGGCUCGAAAGCGUGGGGAGCGAACAGGAUUAGAUACCCUGGUAGUCCACGCCGUAAACGAUGAGUGCUAGGUGUUGGAUCCUUUCCGGGAUUCAGUGCCGCAGCUAACGCAUUAAGCACUCCGCCUGGGGAGUACGACCGCAAGGUUGAAACUCAAAGGAAUUGACGGGGGCCCGCACAAGCGGUGGAGCAUGUGGUUUAAUUCGAAGCAACGCGAAGAACCUUACCAGGUCUUGACAUCCCGAUGCUAUUUCUAGAGAUAGAAAGUUACUUCGGUACAUCGGUGACAGGUGGUGCAUGGUUGUCGUCAGCUCGUGUCGUGAGAUGUUGGGUUAAGUCCCGCAACGAGCGCAACCCCUAUUGUUAGUUGCCAUCAUUCAUUUGGG
rnacentral:rRNA from 1 species